CUGUCACAAUUAGCGAACCAAUAAAUACUCCGCUGGUGACGCGCCGCUCAGACGGAGAGUCCCUGUAUGUGCUCCAGGCUCGGCGUUUGUCUUGUCGACUAGUCUGUUAGUUGCAUUGUGCACGAUUAGUUCUUCCACCAUCGGUCGUAAAACCAGUUUCGAAGUACAUCAUAGUCGGCCGUGCAAAGAACGAUGUGUUUCAUUUGCAACGCCAUUUCUUGCCUCGUCAAGACGAUCUGCAUCGUAGUCUUGCUGGUGAUCAUAGGCGGAAUAAUCGUAUUGGUUCUGUACCUCCAGGAUAUAAUAAAAUAAAGUUUGAUAAGUGA